rnacentral:rRNA from 1 species
UACAGAGGUCCCAAGCGUUGUUCGGAUUCACUGGGCGUAAAGGGUGCGUAGGUGGUGAGGUAAGUCGGAUGUGAAAUCUCCGGGCUCAACCCGGAAAUGGCAUUGGAAACUACCUUGCUGGAGGGUUUGAGGGGGAUUGGAAUACUUGGUGUAGCAGUGAAAUGCGUAGAUAGCAUCCAGAACCCCGAUUGCGAAGCAGCUGCCCUAGACUGUAACUGACGCUGAGGCACGAAAGCGUGGGGAGCGAAACAGG